ensembl:snRNA U6 U6 spliceosomal RNA
GUGUUUGCUUCAGCAGCACAUACACUGAAACUGUAAUGAUAUAGAGAAGAUUGGCAUAGCCCCCACACAAGGAUGAUGCACAACUUCGUGAAGCAGCUUUGUUACUA